ACAUUUUAAUAUAAUAGAAUAGCAAUAUAUAAAUAUAAGCAUACUUAAUCAUUUUCGCCUCCACUUCGAUGCUUGACAAAGUAUUUGAGGAAGGAUAAUUCUCGAAGAAUGUCUUUAUUUAGUGGCGAAAGUUGAUGUAGAGGCCUAGGAUUUAUUAUUUGCGCCAGGGUCGCUUUGGCAUAUUUAUUUCUUAGUUUGCCGAAGCACUUUUUAACGUACGGCCCUGCAACGUAGAGAGCAAAGGUGCCCCGAUCGUCCUCUCGGUCGACGAAGCAGACGACGAAGCAGUAUAUAUAACCUGCAAAAUCUCUCUCGGUGACCUUGCCUGAGAAGCAAAUCAACAGUACAUACAUAAUGGAUGCAUUGUUAUUAAAUAAUGCUAUAAACUUGUGGUUCAAUAUAGCUACUAUUGCAAGUGUUGUUCUUCAAGUUUGUUUAAAGAAAUGCAAUAUUCGUAGGUGGUGGGUAAAACCAUAUUUGCGUCCUGACAUUAGGAAUAGAUAUGGAGCUUAUAACUGUAUUGUCAGAUAUUUUAAGGAGAAUGAUGAAGAAGAAUUUGAGAAAUUCGUUGGCAUGUCACGUGAACAAUUUGAUGAAAUUGUUGAACUUUUAAGACCGCACUUGAUCAAAAGAAGUCAAAGACAAUCGUUAGAGCCAGAACGUUUCUGAUUGGCAAAAGUACCAUGUAUCGGAUAAUCAUCCAAGUAUGCACAGUAAUAUGCAAUGUGCUACAAGAAAAAUACAUUUCUUUUCCAUCAACUGAUGAUUUGACAGUUAUUGCAAAAAUGUAUUGGAAGAUAUGGCACAUGCCUAAUUGCUUUGGUGCAAUAGAUGGAAAGCACAUACGAGUAAAAGCUCCACCAAACUUGGGUUCAUAUUUUUUUAACUAUAAGAAGCAUUUCAGCAUUGUAAUAAUGGGACUAACUGAUGCCUUCUGUCGCUUUAUUUGGGUUAAUAUAGGGGAUUUUGCGCAGUGACCUAGGUCAAGCUUUGGAUAAUGAGGAAAUAGAAUUACCAGCACCGGCUUAUUUACCUGGGACAAAUGUGCUAUGUCCGUAUUUUAUUAUUGGUGAUGGAGCGUUUCCAUUAAAAAAGUAUUUAAUGAAACGAUACACCAGAGUAAAUGACCUUACGUACGAAGAAAACAUCUUCAACUACCGUUUGUCAAGAGCUCGAUUGACGGUUGAGAGAGCGUUUGGUAUUCUAACAAAAAAAUGGAAAAUCUUUGAGUCACCGAUAGAUUGGAAACUGCCAAACUGUGCAACAGUCGUAAUGACCUUAAUUUGUCUCCAUAACUAUCUAAUCACAGAAGAAAUGAAUAAAGACGAAGCCGAAAGAGAGUAUAUUUUUAAUCCGUACAAUAUUCAAAAUGAAGAUAACAUAGGAAUAUAUUUAGGAAAUAAUGCACACGAUGCAGGGAAUAUUAGAAACUCAUUAAAAGAUUUUUUUCUAAGUCCUUUUGGAAGUUUGCCAUGGCAACAUGACAAAGUAAUAUAAAGCUAUUUGUAUUUAUUUUUCAACAAUAAAGUUUAUCUUUCAAUA